rnacentral:tRNA from 1 species
GCGCCCAUAGCUCAGUUGGAUCAGAGCGUCCGGCUUCUACCCGGAUGGUCGCAGGUUCGAGUCCUGCUGGGCGCA